rnacentral:rRNA from 1 species
GCAAGUCGAGCGCUACCUUCGGGUGGAGCGGCGGACGGGUUAGUAACGCGUGGGAACAUACCCUUUUCUACGGAAUAGCCUCGGGAAACUGAGAGUAAUACCGUAUAAGCCCUUCGGGGGAAAGAUUUAUCGGGAAAGGAUUGGCACGCGUUAGAUUAGAGAGUUGGUGGGGUAAGGGAGUACAAAGACUACGAUCUAUAGGUGGUUUGAGAGGAUGAUC